UUCUUUUAAACGUAGAGUUUAAACAUUGAAUUGCAUCAUUGUGAAGAAAAUCACUUAGUAUUUUAUAGUGAGGUGACUUUACAAGUAAAGAUCUUCAAGAAGAUUUUUAUGUGAUUUAAAAAAUCAGCUUAGAUGCUUGGAAUUUGGAUUGUUGCAUUCUUUUUCUUUGGCACAUCAAGAGGAAAAGAAGUUUGCUAUGAAAGGUUGGGGUGUUUCAAAGAUGGUUUACCAUGGACCAGGACUUUCUCAACAGAGUUGGUAGGUUUACCCUGGUCUCCAGAGAAGAUAAACACUCGUUUCCUGCUCUACACUAUACACAAUCCCAAUUUCUAUCAGGAGAUCAGUGCGGUUAAUUCUUCAACUAUCCAAGCCUCAUAUUUUGGAACAGACAAGAUCACCCGUAUCAACAUAGCUGGAUGGAAAACAGAUGGCAAAUGGCAGAGAGACAUGUGCAAUGUGUUGCUACAGCUGGAAGAUAUAAACUGCAUUAAUUUAGAUUGGAUCAACGGUUCACGGGAAUACAUCCAUGCUGUAAACAAUCUCCGUGUUGCUGGUGCUGAGGUGGCUUAUUUUAUUGAUGUUCUCGUGAAAAAAUUUGGAUAUUCCCCUUCUAAAGUGCACUUGAUUGGCCACAGUUUGGGAGCACACCUGGCUGGGGAAGCUGGGUCAAGGAUACCAGGCCUUGGAAGAAUAACUGGGUUGGAUCCAGCUGGGCCAUUUUUCCACAACACUCCAAAGGAAGUCAGGCUAGACCCCUCGGAUGCCAACUUUGUUGAUGUUAUUCAUACAAAUGCAGCUCGCAUCCUCUUUGAGCUUGGUGUUGGAACCAUUGAUGCUUGUGGUCAUCUUGACUUUUACCCAAAUGGAGGGAAGCACAUGCCAGGAUGUGAAGACUUAAUUACACCUUUACUGAAAUUUAACUUCAAUGCUUAUAAAAAAGAAAUGGCUUCCUUCUUUGACUGUAACCAUGCCCGAAGUUAUCAAUUUUAUGCUGAAAGCAUUCUUAAUCCUGAUGCAUUUAUUGCUUAUCCUUGUAGAUCCUACACAUCUUUUAAAGCAGGAAAUUGCUUCUUUUGUCCCCAAGAAGGUUGCCCAACAAUGGGUCAUUUUGCUGAUAGAUUUCACCUCAAAAAUAUGAAGACUAAUGGAUCAUAUUAUUUUUUAAACACAGGGUCUCUUUCCCCAUUUGCCCGUUGGAGGCACAAAUUGUCUGUUAAACUCAGUGGAAGCGAAGUCACUCAAGGGACUGUCUUUCUUCGUGUAGGCGGGGCAAUUGGGAAAACUGGGGAGUUUGCCAUUGUCAGUGGAAAACUUGAGCCAGGCAUGACUUACACAAAAUUAAUCGAUGCAGAUGUUAACGUUGGAAACAUUACAAGUGUUCAGUUCAUCUGGAAAAAACAUUUGUUUGAAGAUUCUCAGAAUAAGCUGGGAGCAGAAAUGGUGAUAAAUACAUCUGGGAAAUAUGGAUAUAAGCUCAGUGUUUAGCCUAUAGGUCUGUGCUAUAAAUAUCCUUGGAAGGAAAUGAUGACAGAUACUCUGCAGAGGGUUUCUUGAUUCUCCUUGGUGCCUCGCUGCCAGCUGAACCUUCAGAAGGACCCAUGGGUGUACAUAAAUAAAUCUGUGCUGUGGCAGAAAGCAGAGAAGCAUGUGUGAUGACUCUCCCAUUUUGCAAGGAAGGGAUGGAAGAUUGCUGGGGAGAAGGAGGAAAGCGGGUUCAGGGACAUUUGGCAUGAUCCAGCGGUGUGUACUGCUCUCACUGGUGGGCUGCACAUAUUCACACCUAGGCCAACCCAGGAGCAGAGUGGCUAUGAGUAAGCUCAGUAGAAGGGACUGAGCCGUACUGAGUAAUUGUGUCGCAGUCCAGCAUUCAUUAGCAAGCUGGUGGUGGAGUCAGCACAGACCUUGGGGAGACAAGUCUUCCUGAGAGCAGCUGUCCCGAGCCUGCGCAGGUCCCAAGGUGGAGGAAGAGUUAUGGAUCCGGCCGUGGCCUUAGGCAACACACGCAUGAAAUUUGGUGCCAUGACUCGGAUCGGGGGACCUCCCUUGGGAGAUCAAUCCCCUGUCCUCCUGCUCUUUGCUCGGUGAGAAAGAUCCACCUACGACCUCAGGUCCUCAGACUGACCAGCCCAAGAAACAUCUCACCAAUUUCAAAUCCGAAGACAAGAAUGUCAGGCCUCUGAGCCCAAGCUAAGCCAUCAUAUCCCCUGUGACCUGCAAGUACACAUCCAGAUGGCCGUUUCCUGCCUUAACUGACAACAUUCCACCACAAAAGAAGUGAAAAUGGCCUCUUCCUGCUUUAACUGAUGAUAUUGUCUUGUGAAAUUCCUUCUCCAGGCUCAAAAGCUCCCCUACUGAGCACCUUGUGACCCCCAACCCCAUUUUGACUGUAAUUUUCCUUUACCCACCCAAAUCCUAUAAAACGGGCCCACCCCAUCUCCCUUCGCUGACUCUCUUUUCAGAUUCAGCCCGCCUGCACCCAGGUG